ACCCGUCUUUAAACACGGACCAAGGAGUCUAACGCGCGCGCGAGUCAGAGGGUCUCGCUCCGAAACCCCGUGGCGCAAUGAAAGUGAAGGCCGGCGCGCGCCGGCCGAGGUGGGAUCCCGGCCCCUCCGUCAGGUGGCAAAACCGGGCGCACCACCGGCCCGUCUCGCCCGCCCCGUCGGGGAGGUGGAGCAGGAGCGCGCGCGAUAGGACCCGAAAGAUGGUGAACUAUGCCUGGGCAGGGCGAAGCCAGAGGAAACUCUGGUGGAGGCCCGCAGCGGUCCUGACGUGCAAAUCGGUCGUCCGACCUGGGUAUAGGGGCGAAAGACUAAUCGAACCAUCUAGUAGCAUUUUCCUUCCGA
rnacentral:rRNA from 1 species